rnacentral:rRNA from 1 species
UGUGUGAGGAAGGCUUUUGGUUGUAAAGCACUUUAAGACGAGGAGGAGGCUACCUAGAUUAAUACUCUGGGAUAGUGGACGUUACUCGCAGAAUAAGCACCGGCUAACUCUGUGCCAGCAGCCGCGGUAAUACAGAGGGUGCGAGCGUUAAUCGGAUUUACUGGGCGUAAAGCGUGCGUAGGCGGCUGAUUAAGUCGGAUGUGAAAUCCCUGAGCUUAACUUAGGAAUUGCAUUCGAUACUGGUCAGCUAGAGUAUGGGAGAGGAUGGUAGAAUUCCAGGUGUAGCGGUGAAAUGCGUAGAGAGCUGGAGGAAUACCGAUGGCGAAGGCAGCCAUCUGGCCUAAUACUGACCCUGAGGUACGAAAGUAUGGGGAGCAAACAGGAUUAUAUACCCUGGUAGUCCUGCC